rnacentral:rRNA from 1 species
AUACUAAGAGUAUAUGGUGGAUGCCUAGACAUCAAUGGACGAUGAAGGGCGUAGCAGCCUGCGAUAAGCUUCGGGGAGGUGGCAAGCAACCUUUGAUCCGGAGAUUUCCGAAUGGGGAAACCCAACUAAGUAAACCUUAGUUAUCUCUACCUGAAUAUAUAGGGUAGUUGAGGAAGACCUGGCGAAGUGAAACAUCUCAGUAGCCAGAGGAAUAUAAAAUAAUAAUGAUUCCCUAAGUAGUGGCGAACGAACGGGGAAGAGCCCAAACCUUUUAGACCUUAUAGUUCGUGAAAGUUAUGUUUUCGGAUGUGACUGGAUCUGACUAUUCAAGGCUGUCAGGCCACAUGUCUAAUUGGGGUAGCGAGAUAGUUAUUUUCAAAAUCUGACAAUUUUGUGCAAGUAAUAUAGAGUUUUAGUCAAAUGAGCUGGAAAGCUCAGCUAAAGAAGGUGAUAGCCCUGUAGGCGAAAAAACUUUAUAUCUUGUUUAGCUAUUCUCAAGUAGUGCAGGACACGAGAAAUCCUGUAUGAAUCUGCCGGGACUAUCCGGUAAGGCUAAAUACCAUUGAUGAUCGAUAGUGAACUAGUACCGUGAGGGAAAGGUGAAAAGCACCCCGGAAGGGGGAUGAAAUAGUAUCUGAAACCAUAUACUUACAAGGAGUUAGAGCCCCAUUUCGGUGGGGUGAUAGCGUUCCUAUUGAAGAAUGAGCCAACGAGUGUGCUGCACGUCGCUGCUUAAGUCCUCCGGGACGAAGGCGAAGUGAAAGCGAGCGUUAACCCGCGUGAUCUAUCUUUAUACUUGGCACUGCGCUGUAGAAGUAUCUACAGUGUGUCGAGUAUAAAAAUAGAGAGUGGCGUGCACACGACCCGAAACCGAGCGACCUAUCCAUGGCCAGGUUGAAGCAGGCGUAAUAACCUGUGGAGGACCGAACCCAAGCGCUGUGCAAAACGCUGGGAUGAGCUGUGGAUAGCGGAGAAAUUCCAAUCGAGCUC